ACAGGCUCUGCUCUACCUGACAGGAGGGGGGUUGAUUCUCCCUUGUACUUCCAGCAGUUUGUGGGUUUAGGAUCCAUAUGCUGUGUUCUCUUGCCUUUUAUUUGUUCACUGCAAUUGCUGGGGCUGUGCAGUGUCUGCAGGAGAGGAAGGGCACUUCCCACCAAUUUCCUCCCUGAAUCUUUCAGGUCUUUCCAGCACAAGUUUUGCUUUCUCCCUGGUUUUCUGCUCCACAAGUUCUGAUAUCUGAUGCCAAAUACAAAAUUGAGUAAUGGUCACUCACUUCAUACAAAGGGGUUUGAUUGAACUUCCAGCUGCAACUCCAUCUCCACUCGUGUAUUGUGAUUGCAACUUCAUGUUUUACUUGCAUUUUGCAGUCAUUCAGGGGCCAAGUUUUCAAGUCUUCCAGACUUUGACUUGUUUUGAUUUCACUGCAAAAUCCUGCAAGAAUUCUGCCAACAGCAAGGCCAAUGUGUCUGAGAACAGAUGGCAUUUCCAGUACCUAAAGCCUGGUCAGGUUGAUUGCUUUGAGUCUGUAAGGUCAUCAUGGUUGAAGACAUGAAGAUGAGGACAUCAAAGCCUUUGCCCACUUCUGACAAUUACUCUGGAGACAAACACAGCUCAGAAGACAAAUGUUAUGAGCUACCUGUAAGUUCUGGUUCACAAAACAGAUGAGAAUCCAGAGAUACUCCUGAACCUGGAAAUGAAAUUUAUUCUCAAGGUGGAGCCUCAUCUCGAGCAGCCUUGGGAGGGCCAAAGGUGCUUCCUUUUCCAGUUCCCUGCCUGGAUUUUAGGAGAUACCAUUUUUUAGCAUCUCAACAAGGAAAUCACAGCAAUUUCCAUGGGAAGAAUCACAGAGAUGACAGGGCUUCCCCCCAAAACACUGCCUGUGUAAUUGCUGAAGACAUUCCAAGCCACUCUAACGAAGUGCUGUCUGCCAGUCAUUAUGUUCUCCUUGGAGGACCAUCUGUUGCACUUCAAAUAUGUAAAGGUCUCUAUCAUUUAUUGCUCCAAACAAACCCAGGCCUUUGUCUGAUGUGCUGGAGCUCCUGAAUGGAUUCUAAAGGUGGUUUCAGUCACACAGGGCAGGGCAUUCCCUUUGGUUCUACUCCUUCACCUCAAAUUUCAGAGCACAAAUAUACUGAUUAAACCAAUAUCUGAAUAUUUUCAAUUUCUUUAGAAAUGAACUAUGAACAAUAACAGCUGAAAAUAUCUGAAAUAUGUUUUCAUUCAGCCAGGAGGACAUUGGAAGAUUUUUGCAUCUGCUGAACAAAUCUUUCCAUUGUAGUGGUAUCCAGAUUUGAUAAAUGCUGAGAUUUGAAUGAAAAUUACCUUAUUUUAACUAAAUUAAUUAGCUCAUUUGUAUCUGAAAACAGUGAUUCAAAGGAAUGAUAAAAAAUAGAGUCAGCAGCUUAAAAUGCUGCUCAAGCCUUCUUUAGCACAUGUCCUUUACAAGGAUGUAGUUUUGGUGGUACAGUCAUAAUUUAUAGGUUAAUUAGGAUCCUUUCCAUGAGUAAAAUGAGCAAGAUCAGGCAUUAAAAGAUCCUGGUUUUUGUUGUUCCUGCUGCAGCUUUUAAAGAGGCUGUACAAUCAGGUUGGAGAACGUGAGCAUUGUAUUUUCACAGCAGAAAAGUUCUGUUCAGAGAUUUCCAGCCAGAGAAAUCCAUAACAAUUUCUGUCUGAUUAGGGAGUGGUCCUAUCUUUAUCCCUUUCUCCUCUUUCCCUUCUCCUUCCUGCACAGCAGCUAAUGUUCUGGUCAGAAGUAAUAAUAUGUUAGAUCUUGAAUGUCAGUAGCCCCAGAGAUUCUGACAAGACUAUUCAUGUGCAUUCAUAUGUCUUAACCAAAGCUGACACUAAAGAGAGCAAGAAUCCUCAUAUUCCUCUUUUUAUUGCUGUGCAUUAAACUCAAAUCUUCUCUUGGAGACCUCUGCUAGAAAUGACAAAUCCACCAUUUGAAAAAGACAUUUUAGCAAGGUCUAAACAAAGCAGCUGGACAUCAAUCUGGCACAGGGCAGAGGCUCCUGUGAAAGCUCAGAGUGCAAAGCUGAGCUCUGGUUUACACCUUCCAAAUGCUGUGAGAUAAAUACUAAUGGGAAAUAACCAUUCCUCCUAAUGUUUCUAAAUUUCAAUUAAAAACUGAUUUUAAUUUUUUUUUUUCUUUAACUAUAGGAUAUGUCCUUAUAGGGAUAUUUGGAUUCUGGUAACACGAGGUUGUUUUCUGAGAAACACACACUGAGUGAAGAUUCUGCUCUACCUUUUACUCUGGACAUAUUUUACACACACUUGUAGCAUGGUGUACUGCACAUGUUUGGGUAAUUUUGCAGGGAUCUGAUUAAGUUGUUAAAGCCAGGUAGGCAAUUUUGCCAGCAGUGAUAUUUUUAAUCUUCUUUUUUAAAAUGGUUUGGUAGUAGUGACUAAGGCAGACUAGGUGGCUCUGGGCAGCUCGCCAUUUUGAGGUAGUUUAAUUUGUUAAAAAUUAUCUUUCUUCCCACCCAAAUCCCCUUGAAACCAUUUGGAGAAGAGAACUGUUGAACAGUUGCCAGUAAUAAGUCCUGCUGAGACCUCUGUAUCCUCCUGACAGAAAUGUUGGUGCCAACUGGAGACUGACUGGCACGAGUUUGAACUCUACACUACUUGAUAUAUUUGCUUCACAUGCACCAAUUACAAUAAUUACCACCUCUGUAGCUGAAGUUUAAGCACUCACUCUGCACUCCAUACCUCAGGUUGUUGGCAGUAUGUUCAAUCCUAUAAUCUCAAUUUUCUU